AUACGUAGGUGGCAAGCGUUGUCCGGAAUUAUUGGGCGUAAAGCGCGCGCAGGUGGUUCCUUAAGUCUGAUGUGAAAGCCCCCGGCUCAACCGGGGAGGGUCAUUGGAAACUGGGGAACUUGAGUGCAGAAGAGGAUAGUGGAAUUCCAAGUGUAGCGGUGAAAUGGGUAGAGAUUUGGAGGAACACCAGUGGCGAAGGCGAGUGUCUGGUCUGUAACUGACACUGAGGCGCGAAAGCGUGGGGAGCAAACAGGAUUAGAUACCCGGGUAGUCCACGCCGUAAACGAUGAGUGCUAAGUGUUGGGGGGUUUCCGCCCCUCAGUGCUGCAGCUAACGCAUUAAGCACUCCGCCUGGGGAGUACGGUCGCAAGACUGAAACUCAAAUGAAUUGACGGGG
rnacentral:rRNA from 1 species